rnacentral:lncRNA from 1 species
GCCAAUGGAGCGGGGAUUUCUUGGGGGGGCGGGGCGACGGCCAGUGGUCGCGCGGCCUGGGAGGCCCGGGGCGCUCUGACAGCGGAGGGGGCCGAGGGAAAAUGGCGGCCGCGUCGAUAGCGCAGUGGGUCGUCUCAGAGGGAAGGCAGGGUCUGAUGCUUGGCUGGUCUGGGCCGCGCCCGUCGCAAGCACAUCGUGAGGCGGCUGGACCGCAUCAAGGGUCACCUUCUGCGGGGCAGGAAGGAAGUCCUGCAGGGCUGAUUCUGCUUGCUGCUCAGGUAACAGAACACAUGGGGCUGGGGGAGUGGGAGAAACGUUUGUGAGUUCAAGGAUGCUACAGAUGCUCCACGUCCAAGUUGUGGAAAAGGCAAAUUUGCUGCCAGUGGGGAAAAGCUGAUGAGGAACUGCAGUUAACGGAGAGUGCCUCCUGCCCGAAUCGGGCCCUCAGUAGUUAGAAAUGUCUUCCUUUGGGGUAAGAGAACAAACUUUCACCUUGGCUCAAUUGAGACAUGCUCAUUACCUUCUUUGGGCUCAAGUGUUUCUCUUCGUUCUUACUAAUUUUGCAGGCAACUUGGAAGCAGCCUUUUAUUUUUGACUCAUAACUUUAUUUUUAUUAGUAUGUGGUGUCAGUGUAGUUGAUUUUUGAGCACCUAUAUGCCGGUGGAAAGGUAGUGAAUGAAACAUGAUGGAAACGGAUGUGUCACUUGAUUUAUAUUCUCUUUUUUUUUUUUUUUUUGAGUAGCGGAUGGCAUGUUUUUCUAUGGCUCAGUCCAUGACUUUUAAGUAAAAAAAGUUUGUCGUUCCAGGAAAGACCUAGUCCUUCUUAGGACUGACGUGUAGACUCGGAGGGUCUCUUAAGGACAUGAUCAGAGCAAAAAGCCAAAUUUCACUGAGUGUUGCUGCUAUUGGUUUUUGCUUUUGUUAAUGCCCCCACAGCUCCCUUGCAGGUGUGAGGUCUGAAUCAUAAUUUUUUUUUCAGUCUCUAACACAUUUUUUUCCCCAAGGAGAGGCUACGUUGAAAAGUGAGUGAGUUUCCUCCCAGGCGUGCCAGUGACUACCAUCGAGUUACAAUUAUUAAAAGCACAAAAGCAACACGCUCUUAGAGAUGGGGACUACUUCUGGAUACGCGUUAAUCCUGUGCAGGUGUUCUUGGGAUACAGAUCAUCUGUGCUUCCUGCUCUGACAAGGCAGUGUGCUGAGACAGGGAUGAGCUCCUGAAGACAAAAAAAGAGGCCAGGUGCUGGGGUUUUUGUCUCUUUGUUUGUUUUGUGGGGGUGGGUGGGUGGCUUCCAAAACAGGGUGCGAGGUUGACUGCAGUGGCAG